AAGGUUAGGAACGAAUGUAAUGUCACACACACUACACUAAACAAUUCCCAUAUGUUAUUAGUUGAUUAAAGGUCCAGCUAGUUACUGUUGAUUAAAGGUCCAGCUAGUUACUGUUGAUUUAAAGGUCCAGCUAGUUACUGUUGAUUAAAGGUCCAGCUAGUUACUGUUGAUUAAAGGUCCAGCUAGUUACUGUUGAUUAAAGGUCCAGCUAGUUACUGUUGAUUAAAGGUCCAGCUAGUUACUGUUGA